GGAAGUAAAAGUUGUAACAAGGUCUCCGUUGGUGAACCAGCGGAGGGAUCAUUACAGGACUCGCAAGACUCCUUCACCCUGUGAACCUCACUACAAGCACGUUGCUUCGGCGGGUGUCCCGGCGGGGGUUUUCCCUCGCCGGGGCGCACAGCCCGCCGGCAGCCUACUAUACUCUGUCUCUUUGCGUCGGCAUCUCGAGAAAAAACAAACAAGUUAAAACUUUCAACAACGGAUCUCUUGGUUCUG
rnacentral:misc_RNA from 1 species